AAUCAACGCUGGCGGCGUGCCUCAGACAUGCAAGUCGAACGAUUAAAGCUCUCUUCGGAGAGUGCAUAGAGUGGCGCACGGGUGAGUAACACGUAAGUAAUCUACCCUCGAGUGGGGAAUAACGUCCGGAAACGGGCGCUAAUACCGCAUAAUGCAGCGGCAUCAUAAGAUGACAGUUGUUAAAGAUUUAUCGCUUGAGGAGGAGCUUGCGGCAGAUUAGCUAGUUGGUAAGGUAACGGCUUACCAAGGCUACGAUCUGUAACCGGUCUUAGAGGACGGUCGGUCACACUGACACUGAAUAACGGGUCAGACUCCUACGGGAGGCAGCCGUCGGGAAUUUUGGGCAAUGGGCGAAAGCCUGACCCAGCAACGCCGCGUGAAGGAUGAAGUAUUUCGGUAUGUAAACUUCGAAAGAAUAGGAAGAAUUAAUGACGGUACUAUUUAUAAGGUCCGGCUAACUACGUGCCAGCCGCCGCAGUAAUAC
rnacentral:rRNA from 1 species